CUGACACAUGCUGAGGUCAGCUGCUCUGACAAUGUUGCACUACUGUACCAUCCAUUCUAGCAGUGCAAUAGUAUUGUCAUAGCAUUUGGCCUCAGCUCGCUCUAG
ensembl:miRNA mir301b microRNA mir-301b